rnacentral:lncRNA from 1 species
GCUAUUAUUCCAAAUUGCUGAGAAUUUUAAGCCAUGUUUGAAAUUAAUUUCUUGGUUGCUUCAGGUGUCUUAUUCACUAACACCUCUUCACUUGUUGCAUCAAUCAUACUUCUAUCCAUUGGUAACAAUCCUUCAUAGAAGUAUUGGAUUGGGAGCUAGUCUGAAUUUUGGUGAUGGAGAAAACUAGGACAUAAUUGUUUGAACCUCUCCCCAU